rnacentral:rRNA from 1 species
UACGUAUGGUGCAAGCGUUAUCCGGAUUUACUGGGCGUAAAGGGAGCGCAGGCGGUGCGCCAAGUCUGAUGUGAAACCCCGGGGCUCAACCCCGGGCAUGCAUUGGAAACUGGCGGGCUGGAGUGCCGGAGAGGUAAGCGGAAUUCCUAGUGUAGCGGUGAAAUGCGUAGAUAUUAGGAGGAACACCAGUGGCGAAAGCGGCUCUCUGGUCUGUAACUGACGCUGAGGUUCGAAAGCGUGGGUAGCAAACAGG